rnacentral:SRP_RNA from 1 species
GCUGGGUAGUGUGGUGGUAUGUAUCAAUAGUCCCAGCUACUCAGGAGGCUGAGGUGGGAGGAUUGUUUGAGCCCAGGAGUUCUGGGCUGUAGCAUGCUAUGUCAAGCCUAUUGUGUGUCCACACUAAGUUAAUCAUCAAUAUGGUGAUCUCCCAGGAGCGAGGAACCACCAAGUUGCCUAAGGAGGGGUGAACUCACCGAGGCUGGAAACGGAAUAGGUCAAAACUCUCAUGCUAAUCAGUAAUGGGAAUGCACCUGUGAAUACCACUGUACUCCAGCCUGGGCAACACAGUGAGACCCCACUUCU